AGUUUUGUAUUCAAAAAUGAUUUUAAAUUGCAAAUUUAAAGGUGAUGUUUAAAUCCAAAACUU
rnacentral:tRNA from 1 species